rnacentral:rRNA from 1 species
UACAGAGGUCUCAAGCGUUGUCCGGAUUCAUUGGGCGUAAAGGGUGCGUAGGCGGCGCCGUAAGUCGGGUGUGAAAUUUCGGAGCUUAACUCCGAGACUGCAUUCGAUACUGCGGUGCUUGAGGACUGGAGAGGAGACUGGAAUUCAUGGUGUAGCAGUGAAAUGCGUAGAGAUCAUGAGGAAGACCAGUGGCGAAGGCGGGUCUCUGGACAGUUCCUGACACUGAGGCACGAAGGCCAGGGGAGCAAACAGG